UACGGAGGGGGCGAGCGUUAUUCGGAAUUAUUGGGCGUAAAGGGCGCGUAGGCGGCUGUACAAGUCAAAGGUGAAAUCCCUCGGCUCAACUGAGGAACUGCCUUUGAAACUGUACGGCUUGAGGCCGGGAGGGGGUAGCGGAAUUCCCAGUGUAGCGGUGAAAUGCGUAGAUACUGGGAGGAACACCAGUGGCGAAGGCGACUCUUUGGCCUGUAACUGACGCUGAGGCGCGAAAGCGUGGGGAGCAAACAGG
rnacentral:rRNA from 1 species